AGUUUUUUGUAGUUGCGGAACCUGGAACACAAAACAUGGAGAGUCUGUUAAAGCAUAUCUAUAAACAGUACACAGAUUUCGUUCUAAAAAAUCCUUUUUAUGAAAUGGAGAUGCCGAUUCGGUGUGAGCUUUUUGAUGUCAACCUGUCACAGGCAGUACAGAAAGACCGAGUUGCUUUUCUCGGAUGAUAAAUACAUCCCGUUUCCUGGAAAGAUUGAUCUGGCUACAUUUGUGCAUGCUUGUUGUGUAUUUGUUUCAGUCUUUCAGAUGAUAAGAAUCUUUUGUUCCUUCCUGUGCAUCUAAGUAUCAGUUGGCUUGUAACACUUGCCUGUGAAAUUUCUUUCUAGUGUAGAUUACUGAAAUACACAAUGCAGAAUUUACACAACUGAUUGUGUGUAUCAGAAUUUCCUUUAGAGAUUAUUGCACUUUGUACCCCUGGCUUUGGGUCAUUAGCAAAUGAGUACCCACACUUUGAAACGUGACAGUUCGUGUCCUAAAGUUUGUAUUAGCUUUCAGUUUGUAAUCCUGUCCCACCACUCCCUUAAAAAUAGCUGUUAAGUUUAAUUGUUUGAGAGGUAACAAUAUAUAUAUUUUGGGUAGCACUCCAUAGCAUACCCUCUUAUAUGGAGUUACGUAGCACACCAUUAUAAAUAUAUAUAAUAUAUAUUCUAUUAUAUUUUUUAUGAAAUAUAAUUGCAAAUUUUGAUUAUUAAACCGUAAACGAAGUUGUACAAUUUUUUUUUCCAAAGUUCAUCUAAAAUUAUGCAAUUUCUCAACAUGAUCUUAUAACAGAAUAAUAAUCAUUCAGAAUUAUUCUGUUGUAGAAUCAGUUUUGAAAAUAUACUUUUUAAUCAAAUUUUAAGUGUUAAAUUACUUAAAAUAGAUUUAUUUUAUAGUAUUCUAUAUUAGAAUCACGUUUUAUAUGUAUUCUAUAACAGAAUUUAUAAUAAAAUUGAUGAUUUAUAGUGGCGCACUAUGUAACUCCAUAUAAAGAGUCCCUCUCUGGAAUGUUGGCCUAUAUAUUUUUAUAUAUAUUAGUCUGUCCAUAUCAUAUUAUGUAUCUUGUUUUCAGAUUUUUUAAAUAAUUAAUAAAUUUUCUUCAAUUAACAGUCAAAGUUUGGUCAAAUUGACUAUCUAAUAGUCAAAAAAGGACACAUAAUAUGAAAUGGCGAGAGUAUUAAAAGAAAGUAAUAUAGAUAUUAUAUUGAUAAUGACUCUUAUUACCACUUAGUAAUCUAAAGUUAAUAUGUUAUUCUGAGUUAAAAACAUAAUCUUCUGGUAUUUGGUUAUUCUGUUUCUUGCAUCUUUAUGAAGAUAUGUUUGUAUUACGUUCUUAGACUACAAGAAUCUCACCAUAAGUCAUAAUUAAAAGAAUAUAUAUGUUUAAAAACCUCUAAAAAUGAUACUAUAACAUAUUUUAUACAUAUUAAAGUUUAGAAUUAACAUAUCUAGCGCUUUCUUCCAUCAAAUACAUCCUAUUAACAUACUCAAGUAAGAUAGUAGUAUAAAGAGGUAAUUGCAUAUCGCACCCCCUAAGUAUCGUUCAAAAACGAUAUUUUUUUUUUUUUUUUUUGUGAUGGGGAAUAACUGGUUUUAGGAUUAUGGCUCUGCUGGAAGGAUGGAUACAAAUGAUAGUUUGAGAAUAGCUAGUUUGUGGCAUUCGAUGCAUGCGAUUUCUCAGCAGUUAUCACCUGUUGCGGGGUGUUUAGGGAUUGAGCUUCUUGAGGCGGAUACUUUUGAGCUUCAUUGCUUUCAGUCUCUUACUGGUAAAUCUUUUGUUUCGAAAUUUGUUUUAAUGUUGUUUAUCUUGCCAUAUCUUUUGAAGUUAGUUCGUGGUGACAAUGCGAUCUGGAUUCUAUGCCCUCUAUUCUAAAAGCUAUAUAGUCUCUUGCAUUUAGGACUUGUCAGUUAAUGAUAAAUUUGAGCUUCGGCUCCCUCUGGAUUUCUGCCACUGUUCGCAAAUUUUAUACUAGCAAGCUAUUUGUAUAGGAAAAUGAUCUUGGUAAAGUUAGUUGGAUUAGUUACUGGUGUCAAACUAUGUAGCUUAUCCAAACCUCUAAUUCUGCAUUAGUUUCAGUCAAAUUUCUACAUGUAGCCAUGUAGGCAAUAUAUUACAUGCCCCAUUUUGAUCUAUAAAUUUACUGCAUUAUCCGAACACUAGUAGAGAGCACGCACUUGUUAAGUCAUAAAAGUUGUUCUCGCCUGGUGCAGUUCUUGUGCAUUGACUUGUAUUUGGUUACGAGUAGCCAGCAUCCCCUCUAUUUACAGAAAGCUUGUUCCAAUACUUUAAGGCCUAAGUAAAGCUAGACAGGUAAUUAGUUAAAACUGCUCUCCCUCCAUCCCUGACCCCCACCCCGAAGUACAUACCAGCUUUGUUACUGCCAGAAUCAGUUUGGAGUUAGGACUACGGCUCAAUGAACAAAUACUGGUCCUGAGUUAGCCCGAACCCGUAUUUGUGCUGUCCAAGAGCACAUCAUGCACUAUUUUGGACUUCAGAGUUCAGUAUUAGAAAUGUUUUAAGUCCAAAAUGUACGAAAUACUGAAAUAAUGCUCAUCAUCAUCUAUUCAACCUUUAUCUGCUAGCAUAGCCACAUUGACGCACUCUUCAGUUUCCGUCUGUAAAUGAAAUUCCUAUCUGGCUAUCUCUGUACAAAGCAACUACAAUAAAAGUUUCUGAAUAUUUGAAUCAAGUGGGGAAUCUCUAAGCAAAGGUUAGACAGUAUGUAACAAUUAUUCCUUCCGUUUAAAACAGUUACUUAUGCAAAUCCAACAAUCUUAAUACUUGUUAAUUAAAGUUCGACAAUCUGUGAAAUUAGUACCUUUUGCUUAUAAAUUAUGAUACUUUAGUCCCUUACUGGCAUGAAGUUCUCAGUUAUCUAGCUGUUUUGCAUAAGUUUGGUGGUUUACUUGGUAUGGCAGCUGACGCCGUUAUGAUAAAGCUUGCUUGUGUGAAACCUUCUCUCCAAUGUUUUCUGUUUUUUACAGUCUCCGAUGUCUUUAUUCAAUUGUAUUGGGUGAACUUUUGUGCUCGGACUGUUCCAGAAUAUCUAGCAAGAAAAAAUUAUAAAUUCCAAAUUUUGGUGUCAUGUAAGAUUAUAAUUUUCUCCUCGCCCUAUGCAGGGACAAAGUUUUUUGUAGUUGCGGAACCUGGAACACAAAACAUGGAGAGUCUGUUAAAGCAUAUCUAUAAACAGUACACAGAUUUCGUUCUAAAAAAUCCUUUUUAUGAAAUGGAGAUGCCGAUUCGGUGUGAGCUUUUUGAUGUCAACCUGUCACAGGCAGUACAGAAAGACCGAGUUGCUUUUCUCGGAUGAUAAAUACAUCCCGUUUCCUGGAAAGAUUGAUCUGGCUACAUUUGUGCAUGCUUGUUGUGUAUUUGUUUCAG
rnacentral:lncRNA from 1 species